rnacentral:rRNA from 1 species
AACGAACGCUGGCGGCAGGCCUAACACAUGCAAGUCGAGCGGACCUUUCGGGGUCAGCGGCGGACGGGUGAGUAACGCGUGGGAAUAUGCCCUUCUCUACGGAAUAGUCCUGGGAAACUGGGGGUAAUACCGUAUACGCCCUUUGGGGGAAAGAUUUAUCGGGGAAGGAUUAGCCCGCGUUUGAUUAGGUAGUUGGUGGGGUAAUGGCCUACCAAGCCGACGAUCCAUAGCUGGUUGGAGAGGAUGCUCAGCCACACUGGGACUGAGACACGGCCCAGACUCCUACGGGAGGCAGCAGUAGGGAAUCUUAGACAAUGGGGGCAACCCUGAUCUAGCCAUGCCGCGUGAGUGGUGAAGGCCUUAGGGUUGUAAAGCUCUUUCAGCUGGGAAGAUAAUGACGGUACCAGCAGAAGAAGCCCCGGCUAACUCCGUG